AGCGGCGGACGGGUGAGUAACGCGUGGGCAACCUGCCUUACACAGGGGGAUAACAGUUAGAAAUGACUGCUAAUACCGCAUAAGACCGCGGAACCGCAUGGUUCUGAGGUAAAAACUCCGGUGGUGUAAGAUGGGCCCGCGUCUGAUUAGGUAGUUGGUGAGGUAACGGCUCACCAAGCCGACGAUCAGUAGCCGACCUGAGAGGGUGACCGGCCACAUUGGGACUGAGACACGGCCCAGACUCCUACGGGAGGCAGCAG
rnacentral:rRNA from 1 species